rnacentral:lncRNA from 1 species
CCUAGUUAAAGCUGAUGCCAAUGCUGAUAGGCUAUCACGAGGCUGAUGACUUAUCACGAAGAUCGUCAUCCAUGUUUUCUUCUAUUUUUCUCAGAUUUUCAACUCUUUUUCUCCAUUAUUGUUUAUUCUCAUUUCUUCAGCCCUAUUCUACAAUAUCAUGAGCAAACACAUCAAAACAACAAGCAUUAAAUAUGUUAGAUUUUGCUCACACAUCAACACCCUCAACUUAAAACAAUUUCUUGUCCUCAAGCAACAACUAACUAAGAGAAUACAACGAACAUUCAGCAGUCAACAACCAAUUUAGCUCAAAACUCAGUUUACCAUCUCCAAGGUCAACCAACUUAAAAUUAUUGUGCAAUUUAUUGAAAAGAAAUAAUGUAACACAAAGGCUUCUACCCAUGGCAUCAACUAAGCACCGCUAAUCAUGCAUGUAUCAAUGUACACUACAAACAAGUAAGUAACUUAGCAAGAUACUAGUGUGCCAUCACAACAAAGAAAUUCCACUCUUUUUCUCAUGUCAGACAUCAAAAAUAUAAACACGGGGAUCUUCACAAAAACACUCACUCUCAGAAUGAAGUUCAAACCAGUGCAUGCCAAAUACCAUAUGCUUGCCCUUAUCGUCAUUACCAAGGUUUCCAGAUAGGUACGCUAGGAUCACUAUAGGUCUUUCUUCGGCUUGUAACGUAGGCUAGGGCUGGUAUGACAUUAUAUGGCAUUUAAAGUGACUAACCUCCUUGGCACUACCUUAACUUGUAGGGUCCACUUAUUAACCUCUUUUUCUCUUUUUUUCUUUUCUUUUAUUUUUAUCAUCUUUUUUUCUCUUUUUUUUCACUUUUUCUAUUUUCUUGAUCACACUUUCAGGAUGGGUGCACUUCUUUUUAUUCAAGCAGAGUUUCUUUUCUUGCUCUUUUUCACCAACACCCAACCUUUUAUUCUUCUUCUUUGAUUCUUUCUCUUCUACUCUACCCUUCUUCAUACCCAACUUAUAUCACGCACCCCUAUGAUAGCCACCCUUAACUUAGGUUAUUUGCCUACGUUAAGGUGCAAAGUGUCCAAGGAGGACCAGGGCCAAAAUAGGUUCAUUAUGAUUUAAAAAGAGAAGGUGAUAGGUAUCAUAGAAAGAAAAAUGGUCAGUUAAGGAUUAAACCGGGAUCAAGGGAUAUCAUGCAUUAGAGGAAGGUCAUUUAGGCUAAUAGUGACUUAAAUUCAAAAAGGCCUAUGAUCCUUUCCUAACCCCUAUCUCUCAACUAUGGUAAUACGAAUUGAGCAAGUUCUAGAUUUGAUACUACAAAGAGAACUCGGUAUAGUCUCACACACACAUGGUACACAAGCAAUAUCACUAGCUACUACCUAUCUGGUUCAUGCAAUUAUUUAGUAGUGAUGGUCAGGUAACUAAACUAAUGCCAUGACAAGAUGCACAGUGGUCACACUAAGGUGCAAUUCAUACAGUCAUGCAAAACAAACCUUCAAAGAGGUGUUCAAAAUCACAAAUCAGUUAACUGCCUACAGAACUUGCACUACUCCUAGUUAUUUACAGAAUAUGCUACAACAACAUGCUACCCUACACCCUCAACUUAAAAUCAAAAUAAAAUGAAACUAAAGGUUAGGAUAUACCUGGAGUCAAUCAAGUCUCAAAUCAUGGGUCCUCGACCCUGCAGCAGUGUUAUCCUCAUCAGGAGCUUCUCUUUGCUCUGGUUCAGCUGUUCUACUAGAUGAGGCUCCUAUAGCUCUCGCUCGCAGUGCUUCUUCCCAUUUCUAGUUGUCCUCUCGGGAUGCUUUUAUUUCCCUUUUUAGAUCCGCCUUCUCCUGUUCUGUCAAGUCAUCAUCUGCCUACAGUGUCUUCU